UGAGGAAUUUUCCGCAAUGGGCGAAAGCCUGACGGAGCAAUGCCGCGUGAAGGAUGACGGCCUAUGGGUUGUAAACUUCUUUUCUCAGAGAAGAAUUUUGACGGUAUCUGAGGAAUAAGCAUCGGCUAACUCUGUGCCAGCAGCCGCGGUAAGACAGAGGAUGCAAGCGUUAUCCGGAAUGAUUGGGCGUAAAGCGUCUGUAGGUGGCUUAAAAAGUCUCCUGUCAAAGAUCAGGGCUUAACCCUGGGCCGGCAGGAGAAACUCUUAGGCUAGAGUUUGGUAGGGGCAGAGGGAAUUCCCGGUGGAGCGGUGAAAUGCGUAGAGAUCGGGAGGAACACCAAAGGCGAAAGCACUCUGCUGGGCCACAACUGACACUGAGAGACGA
rnacentral:rRNA from 1 species